GUAGGUGGCAAGCGUUGUCCGGAAUUAUUGGGCGUAAAGCGCGCGCAGGCGGUCCUUUAAGUCUGAUGUGAAAGCCCACGGGCUCAACCGUGGAGGGUCAUUGGAAACUGGGGGACUUGAGUACAGAAGAGGAAAGCGGAAUUCCACGUGUAGCGGUGAAAUGCGUAGAGAUGUGGAGGAACACCAGUGGCGAAGGCGGCUUUCUGGUCUGUAACUGACGCUGAGGCGCGAAAGCGUGGGGAGCAAACAGGAUUAGAUACCCUGGUAGUCCACGCCGUAAACGAUGAGUGCUAAGUGUUAGGGGGUUUCCGCCCCUUAGUGCUGCAGCUAACGCAUUAAGCACUCCGCCUGGGGAGUACGGCCGCAAAGGCUGA
rnacentral:rRNA from 1 species